rnacentral:rRNA from 1 species
GAUGAACGCUGGCGGCGUGCCUAAUACAUGCAAGUCGAGCGAACAGACGAGGAGCUUGCUCCUCUGACGUUAGCGGCGGACGGGUGAGUAACACGUGGAUAACCUACCUAUAAGACUGGGAUAACUUCGGGAAACCGGAGCUAAUACCGGAUAAUAUAUUGAACCGCAUGGUUCAAUAGUGAAAGACGGUUUUGCUGUCACUUAUAGAUGGAUCCGCGCCGCAUUAGCUAGUUGGUAAGGUAACGGCUUACCAAGGCAACGAUGCGUAGCCGACCUGAGAGGGUGAUCGGCCACACUGGAGCUGAGACACGGACCAGACUCCUACGGGAGGCAGCAGUAGGGAAUCUUCCGCAAUGGGCGAAAGCCUGACGGAGCAACGCCGCGUGAGUGAUGAAGGUCUUCGGAUCGUAAAACUCUGUUAUUAGGGAAGAACAAAUGUGUAAGUAACUAUGCACGGCUUGACGGUACCUAAUCAGAAAGCCACGGCUAACUACGUG